rnacentral:rRNA from 1 species
UGGGGAAUAUUGCACAAUGGGCGCAAGCCUGAUGCAGCGACGCCGCGUGAGGGAUGACGGCCUUCGGGUUGUAAACCUCUUUCACCAGGGACGAAGCGUGAGUGACGGUACCUGGAGAAGAAGCACCGGCCAACUACGUGCCAGCAGCCGCGGUAAUACGUAGGGUGCGAGCGUUGUCCGGAAUUACUGGGCGUAAAGAGCUCGUAGGCGGUUUGUCGCGUCGUCUGUGAAAUUCUGCAACUCAAUUGUAGGCGUGCAGGCGAUACGGGCAGACUUGAGUACUACAGGGGAGACUGGAAUUCCUGGUGUAGCGGUGAAAUGCGCAGAUAUCAGGAGGAACACCGGUGGCGAAGGCGGGUCUCUGGGUAGUAACUGACGCUGAGGAGCGAAAGCGUGGGUAGCGAACAGG